GAUGAACGCUGGCGGCGUGCUUAACACAUGCAAGUCGAACGGUGAAGGCGGAGCUUGCUCUGCUGGAUCAGUGGCGAACGGGUGAGUAACACGUGAGCAAUCUGCCCCUGACUCUGGGAUAAGCGCUGGAAACGGCGUCUAAUACUGGAUACGAGCUGCGAAGGCAUCUUCAGCAGCUGGAAAGAAUUUCGGUCAGGGAUGAGCUCGCGGCCUAUCAGCUUGUUGGUGAGGUAAUGGCUCACCAAGGCGUCGACGGGUAGCCGGCCUGAGAGGGUGACCGGCCACACUGGGACUGAGACACGGCCCAGACUCCUACGGGAGGCAGCAGUGGGGAAUAUUGCACAAUGGGCGACAGCCUGAUGCAGCAACGCCGCGUGAGGGACGACGGCCUUCGGGUUGUAAACCUCUUUUAGCAGGGAAGAAGCGAAAGUGACGUUACCUGCAGAAAAAGCGCCGGCUAACUACGUG
rnacentral:rRNA from 1 species